CUGGGCGUAAGCGCGCGUAGGCCAUUGAGUUAGUUAAUUGUGAAAUCCCAAAGCUUAACUUUGGAACUGCAAUUAAAACUGCUCGACUAGAGUUUGAUAGAGGAAAGCGGAAUACAUAGUGUAGAGGUGAAAUUCGUAGAUAUUAUGUAGAACACCAGUUGCGAAGGCGGCUUUCUGGAUCAACACUGACGCUGAGGCGCGAAAGUAUGGGUAGCAAAGAGGAUUAGAUACCCUCGUAGUCCAUACCAUAAACGAUGAUUGCUAGAUGUUGGAAAUUUAUUUUCAGUAUCGCAGCUAACGCAUUAAGCAAUCCGCCUGGGGAGUACGACCGCAAGGUUAAAACUCAAAUGAAUUGACGGGGACCCGCACAAGCGGUGGAGCAUGUGGUUUAAUUCGAAGAUACGCGCAGAACCUUACCAACCCUUGACAUGUCUGUCGCGAGUUUAGGAAACUAGACUUUUCGGUUCGGCCGGACAGAACACAGGUGCUGCAUGGCUGUCGUCAGCUCGUGUCGUGAGAUGUUGGGUUAAGUCCCGCAACGAGCGCAACCCCUACUUUUAGUUGCCAUCAGGUCAUGCUGGGCACUCUGAAAGAACUGCCAGUGAUAAGCUGGAGGAAGGUGGGGAUGACGUCAAGUCCUCAUGGCCCUUACGGGUUGGGCUACACACGUGCUACAAUGGUAGUGACAAUGAGUUGCAAAGUGGCGACGCUAAGCUAAACUCAAAAAUCUACCUCAGUUCGGAUUGCACUCUGCAACUCGAGUGCAUGAAGCUGGAAUCGCUAGUAAUCGUAGAUCAGCGUGCUACGGUGAAUACGUUCCCGGGUCUUG
rnacentral:rRNA from 1 species